rnacentral:rRNA from 1 species
AUUGAACGCUGGCGGCAUGCCUUACACAUGCAAGUCGAACGGUAACAGGCCGCAAGGUGCUGACGAGUGGCGAACGGGUGAGUAAUGCAUCGGAACGUGCCCAGUCGUGGGGGAUAACUACUCGAAAGAGUAGCUAAUACCGCAUACGAUCUAUGGAUGAAAGCGGGGGACCGUAAGGCCUCGCGCGAUUGGAGCGGCCGAUGUCAGAUUAGGUAGUUGGUGGGGUAAAGGCUCACCAAGCCAACGAUCUGUAGCUGGUCUGAGAGGACGACCAGCCACACUGGGACUGAGACACGGCCCAGACUCCUACGGGAGGCAGCAGUGGGGAAUUUUGGACAAUGGGCGCAAGCCUGAUCCAGCAAUGCCGCGUGCAGGAAGAAGGCCUUCGGGUUAUAAACUGCUUUUGUACGGAACGAAACGGCUCUGGUUAAUACCCGGGGCUAAUGACGGUACCGUAAGAAUAAGCACCGGCUAACUACGUG